rnacentral:antisense_RNA from 2 species
GUCAGACACACUGCACACGCACAUCGCGACUGAGUCGUGUUUUUGGCUUCAAGGAAGGAAGACGGACGCGUCGCCGCCACCCUAGAGGCGGCAUCCCCCGCGUGACGCCCUCUCAGGCACCGUCGUGACCAGAUUCCUUGUCUUGCCUGCCGUGCCCAGCGCCCGCGCCAGGCGCGCUUUCGAUCAGCUGGUCGCCGAGGUGUAGCGGUAGGACAGCAGCGACUUCACCAGGAAGGUGAUCUGGGUGGCCGAGCGCGCAUCCACGCGCAUGACCGGCACGCGGAAGCCUUCGGCCACCAGGGCCUCACGAAAG